rnacentral:lncRNA from 1 species
GGUUUCAGUCUCUUUUUGUGUAUUUUAGUCAUUUUUGAAUGUUUUUUGUCAUUUAAUGUACAGUUUUGUGUGUUUUUGGAGUCAUUUUGCAUAGUUUUGUUGUUUGGUGUGUUUCAGAGACAUGUUUGAAGUCUUUUUGGAUAUUUUUUAUUAAUUCAUUUGUCGUCAUCUUUGUGUAGUUUUGUUGUUUGGUGUGUUUCAGAGACAUGUUUGAAGUCUUUUUGUAUAUUUUUUAUUAAUUCAUUUGUUGUCAUCUUUGUGUAGUUUUUGUUUGUUUAUCAGUAACUUUGUUUUUAUAUUUUUAGAGUCAUUUUCUGUGUUUUAUUGUAUUUGUGUUUUUGAAGUAAUCUUGCUCAUUAACUUUGGGGGUCGCACAAAAUUAGACCGAGAGCCACAUGUGGCCCCCGGGCCGGCAGUUGCCUAAAUCUGUUUUGCGAUAUUUUAUUUGAUCACUUUGUGCAGAAAUCCUUUGACAAUCUGCAGGAGUUUAAAACAAGCAACAAACUGUUUCUUUUUUCUUGUGUAUUUCCCACAGAAUCCAGUUUUCUAAAGAGGAAACCAGUUUCUCCUCCAGGUACGCAGACGCACCAGCCGACUAAAGACGGAGUCUCCACACUGACCUUUAUUAUCAGAGGAAAUGAAGUAAAAAACAAAGAAAGGAAUAAAAAGACAACAAUGAGGCUUUUCCUGUGCGUGUGAGCGCGUGUUGGAGGCUUUUUAAACAACCUUCUCCCUCAGCUCUGGCUCCCUCUAGCCGUCCAUGUUUGGUCCUCAUUACGCACCAGCCCUGCGCCUCUGUGCGCUAUGACGCACCACAGGCCCCACAAAACACCUGAAAACCUCUUUAUUUCCCUCUAAAUAUCAACUAAAACGUCUAUUUUAACUUUUAAAGUGACUUUAAGCAACAUUGAGUGGAAACAGGAGCAGGAUGUCUUACCUUCACACACUGGGCCCAAACUGUAAGUCCCUCUCCACAGUUCCAACCACGUCAGACACCUUCUUCUUCCCAGCAAUCCCUGCAAAAAGGACACUUCCAUGUAUGCUGAACAUGUAGGGGUGAUCACAGACAAUAAACGCAUUUUUAUUGAUCCUAAAAACA